AGUAAAGUGGCGCACGGGUGAGUAACACGUGAAUAAUCCACCUACGGGUUUGGGAUAACGCACCGAAAGGUGUGCUAAUACCGGAUAAGACCACAGUGACUGCGGUCACAGGGGUUAAAGGGGGCCUCUCCUUGGAAGCUUCCGCCCAUAGACGAGUUCGCGUCCCAUUAGCUUGUUGGUAAGGUAACGGCUUACCAAGGCCGCGAUGGGUAGCUGGUCUGAGAGGAUGAUCAGUCACACUGGGACUGGAACACGGCCCAGACUCCUACGGGAGGCAGCAGUGGGGAAUCUUGCGCAAUGGGGGAAACCCUGACGCAGCCACGCCGCGUGGGUGAAGAAGGCCUUCGGGUCGUAAAGCCCUGUCAGGUGGGAAGAAACGCAUUGGACUGAAUAAGUCCGUUGCCUGACGGUACCACCAAAGGAAGCACCGGCUAACUCCGUGCCAGCAGCCGCGGUAAUACGGAGGGUGCAAGCGUUGUCCGGAAUCAUUGGGUGUAAAGGGUGUGCAGGCGGAAGUCUAAGUCGGAGGUGAAAUCUUGCCGCUUAACGGUAAAAGGGC
rnacentral:rRNA from 1 species